rnacentral:rRNA from 1 species
CCAACUUUACGGAGAGGGGGAUGCCGAAGGCAGGACUGGUGACUGGGGUGAAGUCGUAACAAGGUAGCCGUACCGGAAGGUGUGGCUGGAUCACCUCCUUU